UGUAUCACGCAUGUAUCCACAAGAUGCCGCUGGCGCUCCAAAUUAAAUCAUAUCUGGACUAUACAACGGCUACAGUGCGCAGCUAAUAAUGCACGACAGUGAGGAUUCUACGACAAAACAUUAUAAAACCGAAAAGGUUCAAAUCAAACAACUCAACUGCUUUUGUUCUGUGGGACUUUAAUAUGUUUGCCACACCAAAGAAAUCUCUCGACAGCACGCAGACAUUUCGCAUUUAAGACAUAAAUGCGCACCCAGCAAUAAACUUUCUAGCUGCUGUGCCCUAAACCAAAGACAAGUAGGUGAGUGUCACACAUUCAUAAAUGCAUGUGCUACCUAGAAUGCCAUUUUGGGGAGGGCCUGCGUGAGGACUGCGCGUGCUGCUGCUGCGGCUGUCUCAUGGCACGCGACUGUGUGCAGAAUCCAGGUAAAUCCUUUAAGACGGCGGCGGUGACAGUCAUCACUACCCUCCCGAUGAGUGAACUUGAAUAGAUUUCGGCGCAUGCAAGAGACGAAUAAACUCGCAUAUCUUCUCAGAAGAAACUUGCACGCAGGCUUCAGCGAAGACUGCAUCUUUAUUUCAUUCCUGUGACAACAAUCGGAACCAGAAUUGGACCACAAACUUUCCAGCAAUCGAAACAGAGGACGUAAAUCAAAGACAAGCUGGGUUGAUACACCUCUCAAACAAUGGACGUCAAGCAGAGUAUGAUGAAAGCAGAGGCUUCGCACCUUUCCGACAACCUGCUCUUCCACCUGUCAUAUGGCCAGCACAGGAGACAUAGAGGGAGAGAUGUUUACUCGAUAGGGUCCUGGAAAACAUCUGUUGUCAUGCUGACCACCAGAAGAUACAACAAGAGCACUUGAUCCAGGCAGAAGGAUGGGCUGGGUGUGGGAGCGUACAAUAAAGAUGAUGAGAACAUCAGGUCUGACUCAUUUCCUCAUAUUCAUGAGGAAUAACAACAACACCACUAAGUGAAAUAGUAUCAUAUAGCCACAGCUUUCCCAGGGAGACAGAGGUUAAAGUCUGGCCUGUAUCAUGUCUCAAUCCCAAAUAUUUGUAAUAAACUAAAAAGUUAUCCUCGCCCCAUCAUGCAUGUCAUUUCUACAAAGCAUGUUGUUUUAAUGUUAUAUUUGGUAACUUUUAGUAUAGGGACCAAUUCUCAGUAUUAACAGUUGCUUAUUAGCAUACCUUCUUAACAUAAUGGCUGUUUAUUAGUACUUAUAAAGCAUUUUUGCAUGAUCAUAUUCUACAUCCCUAAUCCUACCCAAUACCUAAACUUAACAACUACCUUACCUAACUAUUAAUAAGCAGCAAAUUAGGUGUUUAUUGAGUGUGACCUUGAAAUCAUGCAAAAUCUUUAUUUUCUUUUUUUCUUUGCACAGUUUCCUUCAUGGAAGAAUGCAUCCUGAGAUUUUCUGGGAUUUUCAGGAAGCAGCUCAAAUCUAGAGUCAACAGUCUGUUCACAAUGACAUUCUUCUUCCUUUCAAGACUGCAAAGCCACAGCAGUUUCCCAGCGUUUGCAAACAUUUGCUCUUCUCAUACCAAACUCAUACCUGAAAUGCACACGUGAUGACUGCUCUCUGCGGUUACAAACAUAGGCCACUGCGAGCCCUGUUACCGAGCCAGUUCAAAUUACCAGGAGCUUCAAAUGUGGUAUUUUAAGUCCUACAUUGAGUGUGGUCUGUAAAAUGACUUUCAAUUUGUUAGCAAGCCUCUCCCCCCCCCCAACAUGGUUGGUUUUAGCUGGUUGGCAUGGUCUAGUUAAUCCUAGUUCAUCGAGUACUUUAUUAUAGUAGUUUGUAGAGGACUCUUUAAAGUGUGAAACUGGUUUCUCUGUGCAGCUUGAGAAAAUGCCAUUUUGAUGAAUGGAACUGCUCUAUCAAAGUAUCGUAAUCCUCUUCGGUUUCCAUCUGCACCUGCAUAAGGUUUCUCCAGGCACACUGUCUAGUGAGCAUGCCUGAAUUUGCUAUGCAUAUUAAUCUGAUUAAAUACUUCAGAUUGCAUAGACAGCUAGGGGUCAUUACAUGUGCCAAAAGAGAUUCAAGAGCCACUUAGACGUGAAGACACGCUGGUAUGUCAUUACCCAAGCAUCAGUGCCACGAUCUCAGGAGACGUCCAGAACCUUGUGAUCUUCUCAUGCUUGGUGGCCGGAGAUGAGCUAGAUGAACAAGAAUGCCAGGGCUAUAACACGACCCACAUGGCUCCACUCGCAGCUUGGCACUCUCUCUAGGCAGGACCGGCACAGUUGCCAAAUCUGCUCCCCAUUGGUGGGUUUGGCAAAGCCAGAACCUAGAAAAUUUCUCAACACUGCAAUCUGUUUUUCCAUCAGUUACACUGAACUUGAAAUGCCAAGCUGGAAUCUGUUUCUGCUGUGCGUUUAGACUGACAAACAGAUUAUUGCCAAAUGACAUUCCAGUACGAUGCGCUAAAAUCACUGCAGCGGGACUGCUUUAGGCUCUCGUUGGCUAGUGCUUUUUAGCAUGAGCUUUCCAUAAGCCAUUGUCUCACAUUAGUCCCCAAUGUGCUGGGCAGACAGACCAGGGCAGAAUUCCCCUACUUUAAACAACACGUUUCUAUGAGUCAUUAUAUGGGAAAGAGAGAGUGCUGGAGGCAUGCCUGGACAGAUCGGAGUUCCCCUUUACAGCACACACACACACACACACUGAGUCACACACUCCAUGCUCUCCAAAAAGUUGUAUUUUUUCUUCACAAAGUGUCAUUUGUGAUCCAAUGUCCCAUUAAAUUUGUCUUUAUCUCUUCUGUAGCCCAUUUCUAUUCAAAUGCUGUUCUUAAUGCAGACCUCAAU